GUUGAGGCCGGGACGGGCCCAGCUCCCAGCCGUCUGUGAAGGCGCAGGGCGCGGCCCGACCCAAAGGGACUCCAUGACCUGAGCGGCCCAGCCGCCCGUUACUAUUCUGCGGAGCGAUUGUGGGGUCACUGCUGACAUCUGGCACCAGACCUUUGGACAUUUAUGUAGCACCCUGCAAGAAUGAAAGAGGUCAAGAUCAGCAUGAAAACACAGCUUGGCCAUCAAUGAAGGGAAGCUUGAAGGAAGCAAGUUGCUGUGCAGGUUCACAGUGUACCUGGCAGUCUCCACGUACUUGAAAGAAGAAAA